rnacentral:rRNA from 1 species
GACGAACGCUGGCGGCGUGCUUAACACAUGCAAGUCGAACGGAAAGGCCCUGCUUUUGUGGGGUGCUCGAGUGGCGAACGGGUGAGUAACACGUGAGUAACCUGCCCUUGACUUUGGGAUAACUUCAGGAAACUGGGGCUAAUACCUGAUAGGAGCUCCUGCUGCAUGGUGGGGGUUGGAAAGUUUCGGCGGUUGGGGAUGGACUCGCGGCUUAUCAGCUUGUUGGUGGGGUAGUGGCUUACCAAGGCUUUGACGGGUAGCCGGCCUGAGAGGGUGACCGGCCACAUUGGGACUGAGAUACGGCCCAGACUCCUACGGGAGACAGCAGUGGGGAAUAUUGCACAAUGGGAGGAAGCCUGAUGCAGAAACGCCGGGUGCGGGAUGACGGCCUUCGGGUUGUAAACCGCUUUCGCCUGUGACGAAGCGUGAGUGACGGUAAUGGGUAAAGAAGCACCGGCUAACUACGUG